AAUCCAUGAUGUGGACAUGAUUUGAGCAUACUUUUAAAUCUAUCUCAUGCUUCAUAGAGAGAUUCUGUAUUAGUCUGUUUGAAGUUAGCAAUCUAAUUUCUCAUGUAU